rnacentral:lncRNA from 1 species
UUAACUCAAAGAAGAAAAAGAUAAGUGUAUAAGGUAAUAAACAGCAGAGCAGAUGGUAUGUGCAGGAAAGAUAAAACCAAAGUCUUGUGCAUAACGCACAAGACGCCCAGAACAGUUAAACAGAAGCAGUAUCGAAGCAACAGUUUGAAUGUCCUAACCUAUUUGAAAUUCUAGCUGAUCUUCAUAGAAUUCGAAGGAUAUCAGGGUGGUGGUCAGGAAUGUUAUAUUGGCG